GCUAGUAAUCGCAGAUCAGCAUGCUGCGGUGAAUACGUUCCCGGGCCUUGUACACACCGCCCGUCACACCAUGGGAGUCGGUAACACCCGAAGUCGGUAGCCUAACCGUAAGGAGGGCGCCGCCAAGGUGGGAUUGAUGACUGGGGUGAAGUCGUAACAAGGUAAC
rnacentral:rRNA from 1 species